rnacentral:rRNA from 1 species
UACGAGUAGGGCUACACACGUGCUACAAUGGCGUAUACAGAGGGCAGCGAUACCGCGAGGUGGAGCGAAUCUCACAAAGUACGUCGUAGUCCGGAUUGGAGUCUGCAACUCGACUCCAUGAAGUCGGAAUCGCUAGUAAUCGCAAAUCAGAAUGUUGCGGUGAAUACGUUCCCGGGCCUUGUACACACCGCCCGUCACACCAUGGGAGUGGGCUGCAAAAGAAGCAGGUAGUUUAACCUCCGGGAGGACGCUUGCCACUUUGUGGUUCAUGACUGGGGUGAAGUCGUAACAAGGUAGCGCUAGGGGAACCUGGCGCUGGAUCACCUCCUUA